GAUGAACGCUGGCGGCGUGCUUAAUACAUGCAAGUCGAGCGAAGAACUUUAACGGAAUUCUCCGGAAGGAAGGUAAAGUGACUGAGCGGGCGACGGGUGAAGGUAACGCGUGGGUAACCUGCCUUAUACAGGGGGAUAACAGUUAGAAAUGACUGCUAAUACCGCAUAACCCGCUAGGGCCGCAUGGCCCGGACGGAAAAGAUUUUAUCGGUACGAGAUGGACCCGCGUCUGAUUAGCUAGUUGGUGAGGUAACGGCCCACCAAGGCGACGAUCAGUAGCCGGCCUGAGAGGGUGACCGGCCACAUUGGGACUGAGACACGGCCCAA
rnacentral:rRNA from 1 species